rnacentral:lncRNA from 1 species
GAAAACGUAUUGCAACAUCCUCUAUGGCUGCAUGUUCUGACCUCCAGAAAUGUUUGAUCUGCAGUGUUUCAGAAACAAUGAGGUAAAACCAGCUUGUGCUCACUGACUAAUCAGCAGCACUGACUGUGCCUGGGUUCCUGCUUCUGUUUUAGUCCUGAUGUCCAGCAGCCCCAGUGAGGAGAAAAUUCAGCCUGAUGUCAUCUAGCCACACAAAAAAUGGCUGCAGUGGUGGUGGGUUGUUGAAUCUGCAGCUAGAAAGGACACUUGCUCAGGAACAGGAAUGGUCCCAGCCAGCACUUCGCUGAUGCAUGAAGCACUCUGUAGCAGGGCAGAAACCCAGGAAGCAAGAGAAAACCUCCGUGUCAGUUUUGAGCCAAGCACCUGUUUGUUGAGUACUUCACCAACCUGCUCACAUCACUUUCACCAAACUGCUUUGCUUUACCUAUGAAUCAGAUUUCCGAGGAGUAUGGAUAAGAGCCUGUACAUCUUGGAGGUAUGCCAUAUCCAAUUUUCUGUACUACUUCUACUCUCUCAUGUGCUGGGCAGAC